rnacentral:rRNA from 1 species
AUGACGACGCUGGCGGCGUGCCUAACACAUGCAAGUCGAACGGUAACAGGGACUUCGGUCSGCUGACGAGGUGGCSCACGGGUGAGUAAACGCGUGGAGUUACCUACCCAUCAGUGAGGAACAACCUGGAGAAAUCCAGGCUAAUACCGCAUACGACCUUCGGGUGAAAGAGGGGGAUCUUCGGACCUCUCGCUGAUGGAUGGUUCCGCGUCCGAUUAGUUAGUUGGUAAGGUAAUGGCUUACCAAGACGAUGAUCGGUAGCUGGUUUGAGAGGAUGAUCAGCCACACUGGAACUGAGACACGGUCCAGACUCCUACGGGAGGCAGCAGUGGGGAAUUUUGCACAAUGGGCGCAAGCCUGAUGCAGCGACGCCGCGUGCGGGAAGAAGGCCUUCGGGUUGUAAACCGCUUUCAACAGGGAAGAAGGAAUGAGGGUCAAUACCCCUCUGCCUUGACGGUACCUGUAGAAGAAGCCCCGGCUAAUUUCGUGCCAGCAGCCGCGGUAAUACGAAAGGGGCAAGCGUUGUUCGGAUUUACUGGGCGUAAAGAGAUCGUAGGUGGCUUGUUAAGUCGGAUGUGAAAUCCCGGGGCUCAACCCCGGAACUGCAUUCGAUACUGGCAGGCUUGAGUUCGGGAGGGGGGAAGCGGAAUUCCGUGUGUAGCAGUGAAAUGCGUAGAUAUACGGAGGAACACCUGAGGCGAAGGCGGCUUCCUGGACCGAUACUGACACUGAGGAUCGAAAGCGUGGGUAGCAAACAGGAUUAGAUACCCUGGUAGUCCACGCCCUAAACGAUGUCUACUAGCCCGUUGCGGGUAUCGACCCCUGCAGUGGCGCAGCUAACGCAAUAAGUAGACCGCCUGGGGAGUACGGCCGCAAGUCUGC